rnacentral:rRNA from 1 species
AUUGAACGCUGGCGGCAGGCCUAACACAUGCAAGUCGAGCGGUAACAGAAAGUAGCUUGCUACUUUGCUGACGAGCGGCGGACGGGUGAGUAAUGCUUGGGAACAUGCCUUGAGGUGGGGGACAACAGUUGGAAACGACUGCUAAUACCGCAUAAUGUCUACGGACCAAAGGGGGCUUCGGCUCUCGCCUUUAGAUUGGCCCAAGUGGGAUUAGCUAGUUGGUGAGGUAAUGGCUCACCAAGGCGACGAUCCCUAGCUGGUUUGAGAGGAUGAUCAGCCACACUGGGACUGAGACACGGCCCAGACUCCUACGGGAGGCAGCAGUGGGGAAUAUUGCACAAUGGGCGCAAGCCUGAUGCAGCCAUGCCGCGUGUGUGAAGAAGGCCUUCGGGUUGUAAAGCACUUUCAGUCAGGAGGAAAGGUUAGUAGUUAAUACCUGCUAGCUGUGACGUUACUGACAGAAGAAGCACCGGCUAACUCCGUGCCAGCAGCCGCGGUAAUACGGAGGGUGCGAGCGUUAAUCGGAAUUACUGGGCGUAAAGCGUACGCAGGCGGUUUGUUAAGCGAGAUGUGAAAGCCCCGGGCUCAACCUGGGAACUGCAUUUCGAACUGGCAAACUAGAGUGUGAUAGAGGGUGGUAGAAUUUCAGGUGUAGCGGUGAAAUGCGUAGAGAUCUGAAGGAAUACCGAUGGCGAAGGCAGCCACCUGGGUCAACACUGACGCUCAUGUACGAAAGCGUGGGGAGCAAACGGGAUUAGAUACCCCGGUAGUCCACGCCGUAAACGAUGUCUACUAGAAGCUCGGAGCCUCGGUUCUGUUUUUCAAAGCUAACGCAUUAAGUAGACCGCCUGGGGAGUACGGCCGCAAGGUUAAAACUCAAAUGAAUUGACGGGGGCCCGCACAAGCGGUGGAGCAUGUGGUUUAAUUCGAUGCAACGCGAAGAACCUUACCUACACUUGACAUACAGAGAACUUACCAGAGAUGG